GCUGGCCAAGGUGGUGCAUGCCUGUAAUCCCAGCAGCUUGGAAGGCUGAGGCAGGAGGAUCACAAGUUCAAAGCCAGUCUUAGCAAAAGUGAGGCACUAAGCAACUCAGUGAGACCCUGUCUCUA
rnacentral:sRNA from 1 species